rnacentral:misc_RNA from 1 species
GUUGAGUUGAAGAAACGCCAAAGCUUUGAAGGGUUAGGAGAGCAGAGGUUGAACUGGCCACUGACUCUUCAAAACCUGUAACAGUGUACAGUGGACCUCUAUGUACACGAGAUUGUGAUUAUUAACUACGUACAGUGUGAACUAUAGUGUCAAGAAACUACUGGUGAUUUAUAAAUUUCGGCAAGCAACGCAUUUAAGAGCAGUUUGAUUCUGGUUGCGGUGGAGACUAUGACCCUGAACCAGGGGUGGGGUGCCCUUAACCCCCCUGAACCUCUGCCAAUGGGUGGGAAAUCGAUGCGGGAUGUUGGGUGCAUUGGUUUACCCUCCUCUGGUCGGCAGAUAACCAAGAAUCCAAUGAACAUGCUGGGCGGGAUGGGACCCAGUUCUAACGGGAACUACUCCAACGGGAGUUCCAACUUUGAUCGAAUGAUGGGGUUUGGAGAAAGGGGGUCGAUUGGGGGAGAAAGAUCUGGCAGGGAGAUUGGUAGAGAUUUAAUGUCAUCCCUUGGGAGAGAUUCAAUGUCGGUACUUGGACGUGAUUCAAUGUCAGCAAUUGGACGGGAUUCUUUGUCUGCUCUUGGACGUGAUUCAAUGUCGGCACUUGGACGUGAUUCAAUGUCGGCACUUGGACGGGAUUCAAUGUCGGCACUGGGACGGGAUUCAAUGUCGGCUCUUGGACGGGAUUCAAUGUCGGCCCUUGGACGGGAUUCAAUGUCGGGAUUGGGACGGGAUUCAAUGUCAUCUAUGGGAAGAGACUCCAUGUCCUCUUUUGGUCGGGAUUCUCUGUCCUCAAACUUGCUUCAGGAAUCAAACCGAGACUCUCUUUCCUCGCAGCUCUAUGGUCUGGGCAGGGAUCAAAAUGUGAGGGGUGGUUCCUCUCUUGGAGACAGGAUGGGAAGCUCCCAUGAUAGAAUGGGAAAUGGGGGAAUGUCCAUGCUAACUAAGAUGAACCAGCAAAGCAGCACCAAUGGAAGUGGAUAUACCACAGAUGGAUAUGGAAUGGGAGCCAUGGGAAAACCCCUGGAUCAACGAAGUCCACCAUCUACUGGAUUCAAUAUGAGUUCCAUGGGAGAAAGAAGCAUGAGUGGAAGUCUGAGUGGAAUGGGAUAUAUAGAUCGUGGAGAGCGUGGAAUGGGAGGAUUAGGAGAACAUGGAAUAGGUAGGAUGGGAGAGCAUGGAAUGGGAGGAGGGAGCAGAACUAUGUUCCGGGACCUGCAGGAACCCAGAGAAAUGAGAGAAAGCCGAGAAAUGAGAGAGUUUCUAGACAUGCGUGAAAGGCAGAAUAACCGUGGCAUGAUGGGCUCUCGGGAUAUGGUUAGAUCUAACUCUGAGAUAGGCUUGGAACGAGGUAUGAUGAAUGGAAUGGACAGAGGUAUGAUGGGAAGGGAGAUGUCGUCCGGUGACAUGAUGGGACGCAACUUACAGUCCAGGGAUAGUCGAGAUUACAUGAGAUCUAACUCGGACAUGAUGGGAAUACGUGAUACUAAUGCCAUGGAUCGACUGGAAAGAUUGGAACAUCUAGAAAGGUUGGAGAGAAUGGAGAGAAUGGGAUCAAGAAUGGACAUGAUGGAUCAGCAGAGGGACAUGCCUUACCCUCGUGACAUGAUGGUGCAGCGCAGCAUGUCUUUAUCCAAUGGUCAAGCAUAUGGAGCAGGAGAUAAUGGAUACAAUCGUUCUAUUUCAUACCAGGGAGGUCCACCUUCCCCUCCACAGAACGACAUGAAGAUUGGAACUUGGAAUGAUGGGAAUAUUGCUGCAGCAAACCAAGGUGGUAGUUUCCCACCAGUUUCAAACUUCGAGAUUGGAACAUUCAACAUCAAUGAUCCUGGAUCAAGAUCAUUUGGUUCUGGAGGAAACAUGUAUGGUCCUGGAGCCAAUGGUACAACUCAGUCUAACAAUGGACCCAUCCAACCUGGUAUGGGGAUCCGUGAGACUGGAAUCAUUGAGAAACUACUCCAUUCCUACGGAUUCAUCCAAUGCUGCGACAGACAGGCUAGACUUUUCUUUCAUUUCUCUCAGUUUGAAGGCAACAUUGAACAUCUCAAGAUUGGAGAUCCUGUUGAGUUUGAAAUGACUUACGAUCGGAGGACAGGGAAGCCCAUUGCCAGUGCUGUGUCUAAGAUCGCUCCAGAGGUUGUUAUGAGUGAGGAGCGCGUUAUUGGAACUGUGACCACUGAGGUUAAAGUGUCUCCUGAAGGAGGAAAUGAAACCCAGGGUAGAAUCAGUUACGAGAACAGAGGAGAAUGUUUCUUCCUUCCCUUUAAUACAUCAGAUGUGGAGGGUAAUGUGACCCUGGCUUCAGGUGAUAAAGUCAGCUUCCAGAUGGCAACUGUUCAGAGGAGUGGAAACCUUGCAGCCAAAACUAUUCGUCUAGAGAACCCUGCUGCUCCUGUCAAAUAUCAAGGAGUUGUAAACUCGCUCAAGGACACAUAUGGGUACAUAGAACGAGCAGAUGUUGUCAAAGAGAUUUACUUCAACAUACAGGAUAUGCAGGACGGGAUACAGGAGGAUAAUACUCACAUACAGCUUGGGGACGAUGUUGAGUUCAUAAUACAGACCAGGAAUGGAAAGGAGGUAGCAUGUCAGCUGACAAAGCUCCCCCCUGGGACUGUGGUGUUCGAGGAUGUAGGAACUGAAUAUUUCAGAGGACAGGUUCUAAAACCAUUGGACAGAGCUGGUAAAUACCAGCAGACUGACCCUCUCCCUGGCAGAGUUAAGUACAGGGCUCUAGAUAGAUCUGAAGAAGAGAUUCAGUUUGGUGAGAAGGAUCAACAAGGAGACUUUACUCUCAGACACGGAGACUGGAUCAAGUUUAUUGUUGCCACUGACCGAAGGGAUAAGUUGAAGCGUGCAACCAAGAUCGAGAUUCUGGAUGAAAGCUUCAAGGUUUCUGAUGAGAGGAGGGAGCAAGGAGUUAUUCAAUCAACUAAGGAAGGAUAUCUGAAGUGUGUGGAUAGGAGUGAGAAGGUAUACUUCAAUGUAUCCGAGUGUCUAGAUGUUAACAAAACCCUUGAGGUUGGAGAUGAGGUUGAGUUUACAAGCGCUCUUGAUCCAACCCAGCCAGGUCGUCAGCUUGCAACUAGAAUUAAACUUCUCCCACAAGGAACUGUCAAUUUUGAUAUUAUCAUAGCUCAGAAUAUUCAAGGACUUGUAGCUGUUGAACCAGCUCCAGUCUCCUCAUGGAGCUCUAUGUCUCCCAGUAAGCCUGGAGAAAGUCCAGUUAAAGAAGGAGCUGGACAGGUACUAUACGAACUCAAUGGUCUUCAACUUAUUAUUCCUCUUUAUGCUGCAGACUGUGAUGGGCGCAACCCUCCCAAGAUCGGAGAUAAGGUUCAGUUUAAUAUAAACCAACUUAAAUCCACCAAGGAGACAAACGCAGUAAACUUGAGAAUCCUGGAGCAUGCUAAUGUUGAGGUUGUCAACCCUGUUGCAACCCCGGAGCCUACAGAGGAAUCUCCCCCGAGAGAGAAGAGGGAUCCGGCAAGACUUGGCUCUCCUCAGCGAGGAUAUGUUGCAGCCCUCAAGGACGGGUUCGGGUUCAUCGAGACCCUUCAGCACGACAAAGAAAUUUUUUUCCAUUUCUCCAACGUGGAGGGCAAGGCUGAGAAACUGGAGGUUGGACAAGAGGUUGAGUACGCAAUCUACUCCAGGGAGAAAGGGGGCAAAAUGUCCGCUGAGGGGGUGAAGCCCCUAAGCAAGGGAUCUAUCCCUAAAACUCCUGUAAAAGAAGAGUUGCUGUAUGGAAAGGUGGUUAGACCUCUAAGAUCAGUCAAUCCUGACCAGGCCGACUACUGCGGGCUCAUUGUCUCUAAAUCUGAGGAGGGGAAGGUGAUUGGGGAAUAUCAGUUUGGUAUCGCUAGCCUCCUGAACAAGAAGGAACUCCUUCAGGAGGGGGAUCCCGUCAACUUUCAGGUGUCAGCUAACGAACCCUUUGCCAUCAAUGUUAAAUCCAACAAACAGAAACUCAGAUCUAACGUUGAGGCUGUUAAAGGACAGUUUGGAUUCCUGGCCUAUGAGCAGGACGAGGGGAAGAAACUAUUCUUCCAUAUGAGUGAAGUAGAGGGGGGAGAAGUUCUUCAGGUUGGAGAUCAAGUUGAGUUUGUUGUUGUAACUAAUCAUAGAACUAAGAAACACUCGGCCUGCUGUGUCAGGAAGCUUUGUGUGUCCCAGCGACCUGAACGCCUGAUAUCUAAGCUGAAGACCAUGAGUAUAGAGGAGGUUGCUAGAGGUGGACCAAGGAUUAUAGUUGUCAGGCAACCCAGGGGUCCUGAUGGUUCCCGUGGGUUCCAGCCCCGUGAGAAAGUAGAAACAGAACCUGAGAUCGUCGUUGAUCUGAUGGAGCAGCUCACUGCUCAAUAAUGUAAUUGUAACAUUCCAAUUGGGUUGUGUUCAAACCAUAUCACAAAUAAUCAUUAUUAUAUCAAGCUUGUUAAAAACAGUUUAAAUCACGACAACGUUGUGUGAACGGUGUUCAGUUCUGAUUGUGUGUUCGGUUUCCCGAACCAUCAUUUUAUAAACCGUGUGCUGAGAAUUGUUGAUAUUUAAAUAACUUUAGGUAACAUAUACGAGCAUAAUGAAACUAGUAAUUAAAAAAUAUAUAAAAAGAAAGAAAAAAUAUAAAAAAUAUAAAAAAGUAACCUAAAAAAAGUAACGGUCCAAGUAUGAAACUUAUACAAAGGAAUUGAAUCAAAACGGAACAGAAAAAAUAUUCAAACUACAAAAAAAAAAAAAUGGGCAGGCUUUUACAAUUGCAAUUUUUUCGCUUUUAUGCAUUCUAACGUUGCUUUAAAGUGCCAAAUUCUCUCUAUUUGUUUUAGAGUCUUAAACCCAAGUAUUUGUAACGUUUUGGCUUUCCUUUUAAUCUGUUGUGUGCAAGAAAACUUAAUUCCAGAUUUCAAACUGAAAUCUGGAAUCAAGUUGUAUGAAUAAUUUUGUGUGUAAAAUAUUGAUAAAGUAACAAUCGAUUGCGUUUAAUUUUUCUGAGCUCGGAUUGUUUGUUAACAGUAUGUAUGUUUGUUCGCUUGAAGUAAAAUAAAUGUUUAAUGCCCCAAA